GAAGUAUGGGGAUCUGGUUGCAACAUCUGUCAUUCCAUUGAUCGCCAGGGUUGAUUCAGCUGAUCUGGCUGGCUAGGCGGGUGUCCCCUUUCCCCCUCACUGCUUCAUGUGUGUCCCUCCCAAAGCUGUGUGUCCUAUGGAAGAGGAUGAUGUUCCAAGUAUAGGAGGAGUGUACUGAGGUCUCCAGUCUUCGGUCCCGGGUAUACAAUAGCUGCACCUCCCUGCUAGAACCUCGAAACAAGUUCAAGUAUGACAGAAAAUAUAUUUUGAUAACAAGUAUUUCUAACAAAGAUGCUUCAAGUCUUUCCCUUUU
rnacentral:snRNA from 1 species